rnacentral:rRNA from 1 species
GUCCACAGUCAUACAACCCUCAAGGCGCUUGAUCUCAUCUGCUCUCAGAAGCAAAGCAGGGUCUAGCCUGGUUUGGAAGGAAAAAUGCCAGUCCACUGACU